UCUGAGGUGCGUCCUUCACCUUUGACGCAACCCAACCUAACACGAGAUGGAGCCAUAUAUGUGGGGAAUUCUUGAUCCACUCCAACACCCAAACGUUUCGCAAGCGUUGCCAGUGCGUUUCUAAAAAGUUUGUAUAAUUUUACCUCGUCGGGUGCUAAAUUUCCCGAGUGUUUCUCCAGUGUUGCCAAAACGUUUGUAUUAUUGUACCUCGUCGGGUGCUAAAUUUCCCGAGUGUUUCUCCAGUGUUGCCAAAACGUUUGUAUUAUUGUACCUCGUCGGGUGCCAAGUUUUAUUUUAUUUUUAGAGUUUUUUAUAAAGAUUUCACCAUGGCGCUGUGAUAUGUAUUGAUGAAUGCAAGCUCGAUUUGUUCUUUAUAUGGCCAUGAUGUUUUUAUUCAAGUCAUUUUCCGUAUAGUUCAACUCCAUCAAGAGUGGCGAGCAAGCGAAUGAAAUGGAAACUUCAAAAGCCUCGUCCUAAGUCGAUAUAUAUGAUUUUAGUCAGGGAUAAUUAUAGUAGAAUCAUUUAUAGAUGAC
rnacentral:lncRNA from 1 species